UCCUGUGUGGCUCAGUUGAUAGUGCAUGGCACCUGCAAUGCCAAGGUUGUGGGUUCGAUUCCCUCGCGGGAC
rfam:Salmo salar isolate Sally breed double haploid chromosome ssa27, whole genome shotgun sequence.